UUUCCGUAGGUGAACCUGCGGAAGGAUCAUUAACACUUUUGAAAAAACACUUUUAACCCCCCUUUUGAAUGAAUUUUUUAGAAUGAGAUCAAAAGAUAGGAUGUUUUUUGUUGGAGUUUUGUAACAAUAAACUCAAAACAAAACAGACUAACUUUUACUCUCUUCUUUAUUAUUUCACCUUUUUUCAUUUUAACCCCAACCUCUUUAUAUCCUAAAUGGACUAAUAUAAAAUUUUUAAUGGAAUCACAUCCAUUAAAAACACAACAAAAAAACGCUAAAAAACAACUCUUAACAACGGAUAUCUUGGCUCUC
rnacentral:misc_RNA from 1 species